GCGGCGCGGCCGCGGCGGGCCCCGCAGCCGUGCCGGCGGCGCUGGGUGGCCGGGCCGGCGGCAUGGCCGCGGUGCUGCCGGGCCUCUACGUUGGCGGUGCGGAGUCGUGCUCGUCCCCGGAAUCGCUGGCGGCGGCGGGGGUGGUGGCGGUGCUGACGGUAGACGCAGAGGAGGCGCCGGCGGUGCCCGGGGUGCGGGCGAUGCACGUUCGGGCGCUGGACGAGCCCGGCGCUGACCUGCUGAGCCACCUGGAUGACUGCGCCGCCUUCAUCGGCGCGGCGCGGGCGGGCGGCGGUGCCGCUCUGGUGCGCUGCCACGCCGGGGUGAGCCGCAGCGUGGCCGUGGUGGCCGCCUACCUGAUGAAGACUGAGGGACUCGGCUGGGAGCAGGCCUGCGCCGCCGUCAGAGCUGCCAGACCUGAGGCCGAGGUGAACCUGGGCUUCCAGGAGCAGCUGAAGCUCUACGAGACCAUGGGCUGCGCCGUGGACAGCAGCAGCGCUCUCUACAAGCGGUACCGGCUGCAGAUGCUGACAGAGAGGAAUGCAGCAUGGCUGUGUGAUCUGAUUCAGAACUUCAUCCUGAACCCUCUGCAGAGCUGCACGACUUGCCCAGAGAGGUCUUUGCCGAUGAUCCAACCAAUAUAUGUCACACUGCGAACACAGAGGUUCUCUACAGAUGCAGGAAAUGCAGGCGUGCACUGUUCCGUAGCUCCAGCAUUCUGUCCCACACAGAAGGAAGGGGCCCGACAGCCUUUGCCCACAAGAGGCCAACAGACUCUGCUCAGCUUUGUGGGGAUGGCCGUGAGAAGUGCACCUCUUACUUCACCGAGCCUGUGCAGUGGAUGGAGCCAGCGCUGCUUGGAGUGCUGGAGGGACAGCUUUUGUGUCCUAAGUGCACCUCGAAGCUGGGCUCCUUCAGCUGGCGGGGUGAGCAGUGUUCCUGUGGCCGCUGGGUGACGCCUGCCUUCCAGAUCCACAAAAGUCGAGUGGAUGAAGUGAGAACGCUGCCGGUUUAAAGAAGCAUCUGAGGUGAUGAAGAAGCAGGUGUUUAAGCAAGCUUGGUCUUCGCCGGGGGAGUGCUGUGUGUAUUAUGGUGGCGUACAUCUGGUUUGAAGUAAGAAAAGAAGGCAGACAAGACCUACUUUAAAUCAACUUUAUUUUUCAUUCAUUUCAACAUUUUUUUUCUUUUUUUUUUCUUUUUUACACAAUUUCCAGCAACAUACAUUAUGAAAUUUACAAGAUAAAGUAGGUGGUGGAGUUCUGCCCAUCUUUGAGUUCCUCCCACAGCUGCGGAGGGAAGACUUGCAAGAAACAGUGAACAUCAGAAUCUCAACACUGAAAACAGACACAAAACAAAAAGAGACAAAUAUAUGAAACUGUUUGAACUGGUCACACUUAAGGGCCAGGUACAGCACAAUAAAUAUUAGACCUGCAUUAUCUUAGA